rnacentral:rRNA from 1 species
GACGAACGCUGGCGGCGUGCUUAACACAUGCAAGUCGAACGAAGAGCGACGGAAGCUUGCUUCUCUCAAUCUUAGUGGCGAACGGGUGAGUAACGCGUAAUCAACCUGCCCUUCAGAGGGGGACAACAGUUGGAAACGACUGCUAAUACCGCAUACGAUCUAACCUCGGCAUCGAGGAUAGAUGAAAGGUGUCCUCUACAUGUAAGCUAUCACUGAAGUAGGGGAUUGCGUCUGAUUAGCUAGUGGGCGGGGUAACGGCCCACCAAGGCGAUGAUCAGUAGCCGGUCUGAGAGGAUGAACGGCCACAUUGGGACUGAGACACGGCCCAGACUCCUACGGGAGGCAGCAGUGGGGAAUCUUCCGCAAUGGACGAAAGUCUGACGGAGCAACGCCGCGUGAGUGAUGACGGCCUUCGGGUUGUAAAGCUCUGUUAAUCGGGACGAAAGGCCUUCUGGCGAAUAGUGAGAAGGAUUGACGGUACCGGAAUAGAAAGCCACGGCUAACUACGUG